rnacentral:rRNA from 1 species
CCUACGGGAGGCAGCAGUGAGGAAUAUUGGUCAAUGGGCGGGAGCCUGAACCAGCCAAGUCGCGUGAGGGACGACGGUCCUAUGGAUGGUAAACCUCUUUUGUCGGGGAACAAAGGCGCCCACGGGUGGGCGGAUGAGUGUACGCGAAGUAAAAGCAUCGGCUAACUCCGGGCCAGCAGCCGCGGUAAUACGGAGGAUGCGAGCGUUAUCGGGAUUUAUUGGGUUUAACGGGUGCGAGGGCGGACGGUCAAGUCAGCGGUAAAAAUGCGGUGCUCAGCGCGGAACAGCCGUUGAAACUGGCAGGCUUGAGUGGGCGAGAAGUAUGCGGAAUGCGUGGUGUAGCGGUGAAAUGCAUAGAUAUCACGCAGAACUCCGAUGGCGAAGGCAGCAUACCGGCGCCGUACUGACGCUGAGGUGCGAAAGCGUGGGUAUCGAACAGGAUUAGAUACCCUGGUAGUC